AUGGGUGGCGUCGGGCGGCGGGGGCUGGGGCGGCGGCGGGUGCGGGGGUGGCGGCUGCUGCGGCGGUGGCUGCUGCUGUUGCUGGUGCUGUUGCUGGUGCGGAGGCGGUGGCGGGAUCUGAGGCUUGGGGCCACCCUGGCCCGGCACGGGCCCCAUGGGUCCGCGAUUCUGAUUGAGGCCCAUGCCGGGCGGCGGGGAGCGGAAGUCGGGGGCCGCGUCCCGGGGCCCGGGAGAGGAAUGGGCCAAGCGUAG
rnacentral:lncRNA from 1 species